rnacentral:rRNA from 1 species
AGAGUUUGAUCAUGGCUCAGGAUGAACGCUAGCUACAGGCUUAACACAUGCAAGUCGAGGGGCAGCAUUUUAGUUUGCUUGCAAACUAAAGAUGGCGACCGGCGCACGGGUGAGUAACGCGUAUCCAACCUGCCCACCACUUGGGGAUAACCUUGCGAAAGUAAGACUAAUACCCAAUGAUAUCUCUAGAAGACAUCUGAAAGAGAUUAAAGAUUUAUCGGUGAUGGAUGGGGAUGCGUCUGAUUAGCUUGUUGGCGGGGUAACGGCCCACCAAGGCAACGAUCAGUAGGGGUUCUGAGAGGAAGGUCCCCCACAUUGGAACUGAGACACGGUCCAAACUCCUACGGGAGGCAGCA